rnacentral:rRNA from 1 species
UGAUCAUGGCUCAGAUUGAACGCUGGCGGCAUGCCUAACACAUGCAAGUCGAACGGUAACGACGGGAGCUUGCUCCCGGGCGACGAGUGGCGGACGGGGGAGUAAUACUUAGGAAUCUGCCCAGUAGUGGGGGACAACUCGAGGAAACUCGAGCUAAUACCGCAUACGCCCUACGGGGGAAAGCGGAGGAUCCUUCGGGACUUCGCGCUAUUGGAUGAGCCUAAGUCGGAUUAGCUUUUUGGGGGGGUAAAGGCCUACCAAGGCAACGAUCUGUAGCUGGUCUGAGAGGACGAUCAGCCACACUGGGACUGAGACACGGCCCAGACUCCUACGGGAGGCAGCAGUGGGGAAUAUUGGACAAUGGGGGCAACCCUGAUCCAGCAAUGCCGCGUGUGUGAAGAAGGCCUGCGGGUUGUAAAGCACUUUCAGUAGAGAAGAAAUGCCCAUGGUUAAUACCCGUGGGUCUUGACGUAACCUACAGAAGAAGCACCGGCUAACUCCGUGCCAGCAGCCGCGGUAAUACGGAGGGGGCGAGCGUUAAUCGGAAUUACUGGGCGUAAAGCGCGCGUAGGCGGUUUGGUCAGUCGGAUGUGAAAGCCCUAGGCUCAACCUGGGAAUGGCAUUCGAUACUGCCUGACUAGAGUAUGGUAGAGGGAAGUGGAAUUUCCGGGGUAGCGGGGAAAUGCGUAGAUAUCGGAAGGAACACCAGUGGCGAAGGCGACUUCCUGGGCCAAUACUGACGCUGAGGGGCCCC